AUGAGGUUAGACCUACGUUGUUUUGUAAAUAAUGUGAUGAGGUUAGACCUACGUUGUUUUGUAAAUACUGUGAUGAGGUUAGACCUACGUUGUUUUGUAAAUACUGUGAUGAUGUUAGACCUACGUUGUUUUGUAAAUACUGUGAUGAUGUUAGACCUACGUUGUUUUGUAAAUACUGUGACGAGGUUAGACCUACGUUGUUUUGUAAAUACUGUGAUGAUGUUAGACCUACGUUUGGCACCUUGAAAUUCCCACCUUGCAAAUAAAAGCCUUCACGAUGGAAUACCUGCCUACCUUACAUCACCAUAUAGCCUAAAUGGGAUACUUUCGACAAGAGUACCGUUUCGGACGCAGCCAAGCAAAUCUGGAGAGUGUAACCACCCUCUGUAAAGUGUGUCAUGCCAGAGGUGCAGCUGUGGGACAUCGGGACACCCAGAGGCACACAUGGCAAAAGUGAAGUCAAGUGCUGAGGUAAGCCUCUCCCUCUCGCCUGUCCCUUUUGCCUGUCCCUCUUGCCUUUCCCUGCUGCCUGUCCCUCUUGCCUGUCCCUCUCACCUCACCUGUCCUUCCUGACUGUCCCUCUCACCUGUCUUCCCUGCCUGUCCCUCUGGCCUCUCCAUCUCACCUGUCCCUCUGGCCUGUCCCUCUGGCCUGUCCCUCUGGCCUUUCCAUCUCACCUGUCCCUCCGAUUAACACUGAUAUUUGUAUUCUUCCACCACCAUGCAACCAUUUUAUGUUAACUUCUAAAUGUCACAAUACUGCUUGAUUUAAAUGCACAGCCCACUGCAACUUGACAGGAUAGACAUAUCUUCCUUACGUCAAGCAGGAUGUUGGAUUUACUUGACUGAGACUGAACUGCAUAAGAAUAAGGCAUUAUGGAUAACAACGCUCUCAGCAAACUGCAGCCGCUGAACCAUCACAUUUAUAGAAGCGCAAUUGCCAUAGGCCUACAACCUCUUUCCAAUACAGAAAAUAUAUGAAUCAAUCCGAGGGCUCCCGAGUGGCGCAGCGAUCUAAGGCACUGCAUCUCAGUGCUAGAGGUGUCACUACAGACAUCCUGGUUUGAUUCCAGGCUGUAUCACAACAGGCCAUGAUUGGGAGUCCCAUAGGGCGGUGCAGAAUUGGCCCAGCGUUGAUCAGGUUUGCCAGUGUAAGACUUCAUUGUAAAUAAGAAUUUGCCUGGUAAAAUAAAUAAAUAAAACAUUAUAAUAUAUAUGUAUGUAAUUGCCUGGCAGGCUGGAGUGGAGGCUCGCUAGACAAAAUUACUACACAUGUUGAUUACAACAUGUGAUUGUUAUAGUAGGUCUAAUGUUCUAAUAAUUACUAAUGUGAACGAUAACAUUUUAAAAGAACUAGGGCUAUCCAAUUAAACGGGUCUUAUCAGGAAUACAGCCGACAGUUUAUUUCUUCUCUUCCCUGCUCCCUUCUCUUUGUUUAGUAGACAAUUCAAUCAACGUCUUGUCGCCCUGGGGCAGUGCGGGUGCGCUGUAUUGCACCUUUAGCUCUGAACACACCGCAUGCAGGUUGUAUAGAAUGUGAGGCGCGCGGAACAGAGUGGUGCUGUGGUGGAUUGGUUACUUAGAAUAUGUGAUUCGAUAUUAAACGAGAGUUGAAAAGACCAGCUGCGGUGUAUAUGCUACCUACUGGACAGAGACAGAAACCCUACACCCAGUGCACAUGCAGAAGGGGAUAAACACCUGCCAAAUACUGUAUGUUAUACAACAUGACAACUUUUUUGUUUUUAAAGAGUGUAAAAAUCGUUCAUAGUAGAUAUUGAACGGAAAAACCACUCUGAAAUAUCGGGGUGUGUUUGAGUUUGUGCGUGUGCGUGCGUCUGUGUAUGCGUGUGUGUUGCGUGUGUGUGUGUGUAUCAGCGCGCGCUCUCAGUCCCUUCCCUGACGCGUAGCGGAGAGUGUUUCUCUCUGGUUCAUACUAUAGACUACCAUCAUGUGAAAAGCUGCACUGCUCCAAGCACGGCGCACCAAGCGAGCGAUUAAAAAUCUGAUCAUAGUCAAAUGUAUAAAGUAUUGUACGUUUGAGACGAGUCAUACCCUCGUUAGCACACCACUCAACUAGCCUACUUGCUUUACUAUAGGCUAGGCUAUUUUAUACUAUUAUGCCUAAAACUAGUCUACUAUUAACUGAUAAUAAUACUAGGCUAAUAAUAAUAAUAAUAAUAAUAAUAAAGACUAGGCUAAUAUUAGUAUAAUAAUAAUAAUAAUAAUAGCCGGCUUUGUUAUUACCUAUGAGUAGAAAGUUAAUAGAUAGGUGAAUUCAGAGAACAAAUGUGCCCUUUCAAAGUGACAAAAGUACCUGCGACUUGUAAACCAAAGCCAACAAAACACGAUUUUUAUUUACCGGAAUCGAAUGUUGUCUGAGAAAACAAAAACACACACACACAGACGGACGGACCAAUGCCCAUUAUAAAUGCCCACCACCCACUCUCACAGUGCGACGGACGACGCGAGGUGAGAAUAAAGCAGGAGCCAGGAAUCUAUGGUGGACUUGGUCUCAGUCUCAGUGAAGUCCGCUCUUUUCCAAGCCAACGGACACGUGUGUCGGUGAUUUAAUGCUCCUUAUUCCCAAAAAAAUGAACAGUGCCGCUCUCUGUCUGUGCUUGUGCUCGAGGCUGAGAUCAGAAACAUGUUGUCCGUUGAGAUUCCUCGAAUUUCGUUAGAGAGAAAUACAUAAGGAAUUCAGAAAUGUUACCAGCCAAACACACGUCACUCUUUCAUUUCGGAUGGUUUGUCAUUGUGGGAAUAGAAUAACCUAGCUAAUAUAUACUGAUAUUUCUCAAUAUUACCUCUUUAACUUAGAGGAUAAGUGUAUGGGCUACUUUAGGCUACUCUUCAAUGUUCUUAGAUAGAGUCGGGGUGAUUUUAAAGCGGAUAUGAACGAAAAUCAACAUAGUGGGUAUAGAUAAUUUGAAGGGCAACCCAGAGAGUUUGUAAACAAAACGGCCAAAUUGUGUGGGGACUGUUGGAAGAGGCAUACAACACACUACUUGUUCAGUGCGCAGCGCGCAGACAGUUGUGACAAGAGUAGCCACAAACCUCUUGCGCUGUGCACCAGCCAGCCAGACACCGAACUGUCACUCACCUGCUUGUGAAGAGAUCCUCCGAAACAGCGCAGAAGUGAGCAGAAAGCCCAAGCAACACAGAACCGAUGCUAGUAGCUUCAUUUUCAGGGGUUCGCAGUAACUCCUUUGAUUCACAUGUCCAGAAGCAAGAUCCCUUUCGGCUUGACAAAUAUGAAAAUGUAGAAGCUUGUGUCAGUUUGCGGUUAGGUUAUUGAUUCGAGUUAGUAGUAGACUAAUUAGUCCAACUCGGUCUUCUUCUUCUCCUUGUCUGGUUUAUGCCUAGUGAAUAAAUGUGAAUAAAAGUUCAAACCGAUAUUAGGUAGCGUAUGUUCCAAGGUAGCGCAUUGAUAUGGCUUGUCAAAAAUAGUAAAGCAAUGCUCAUGCCAUUCAUUACUCUCUCGGAGUUGGAUACGGUACUAAGCGACUGCGUACUGUCUAGAGACACACCCCCUUGCAAUGUUGUCUCCUCCCACAGUCAACAGGAUUGGUUGAAGGUAUCGCUGAUUGAUGUAAACCCUCCUCCUAGAACCAGGGAUUUUUAAUGUUGCCAUAAUCCUUGAAUUUGUUGCGUAGGUCCCUUGCAACUGUCUAAAUCUACAAAAUAAUAUUGCUUGUCAAAAUGAUGCGUUAUAUGCCUACCUGUUUUGGGAGACCUACAUUUAAGCAUAAUAGGCUACUCUAGCAUUUAUUCUUACCACUUAAAAUGUAUUUAAAUUGUGGACUAUCGUUACAUUUCUGGAGACAUGUCUAAAUGGGUCUGGAACCAACAGGACCACGAACAGCUUCUACCCCUAAGCCAUAUAAGCCUGCUAAAUAGCUAGUUAAAGAUGCACUAUGCAGAAAUUGCUCCGCAAUUUCAAGGUGGUUUAAAUGAUUAAAAAAUAGCAUAAUUUCAGUUUAUGUGACACAACAAGCAACUAUAGGGUAGAGAAUCAUUGUACCGUUUAAACAGCUGUGAAAUAUAUUUUCCAUAACCAUGCUAUGUUGUUGUCUUUAGGUCUCUCUUUAUGUAGUUUUGUGGUGUCUCUCUUGUCAUGAUCUGUGUUUUGUCCUAUAUUUACAUUUUUAAUCCCAACCCCUGUCCCGGCAGGAGGCCUUUUGAUUUUGGUAGGCGUCAUUGUAAACAAGAAUUUGUUCUUAACUCACUUGUCUAGUUAAAUGAAGGUAAAAUAAAACAAAUUAAAGCAUUUAAAUAUUGUAUUUUCUGCUGUUUGAAGCUGGUGUAUAAACCCAAAAGUAAAAGAGUCAAAAAUGAAACUUAAGACCAGGAAGCAUAGAAACAGC
rnacentral:lncRNA from 13 species